rnacentral:rRNA from 1 species
UACGGAGGGUGCAAGCGUUAUCCGGAAUCAUUGGGUUUAAAGGGUCCGCAGGCGGAUUUAUAAGUCAGUGGUGAAAGCCUACAGCUCAACUGUAGAACUGCCAUUGAUACUGUAAGUCUUGAAUUCGGUCGAAGUGGGCGGAAUAUGACAUGUAGCGGUGAAAUGCUUAGAUAUGUCAUAGAACACCGAUUGCGAAGGCAGCUUACUAUGGUUUUAUUGACGCUGAGGCACGAAAGCGUGGGGAUCAAACAGG